AUGGCGCUGUCCGCGUCGGCGGCGUCGGCGGGGAGGGGCGCGCGGGCCGAGAAGGUGCGCAGGAUCUUCGAGCGCUUCGACGCCAACGGGGACGGCGGGCUCGACCGGGCCGAGAUGGCCAAGCUCGUCGUCGCCGUCAACCCACGGGUCAAGUUCAGCGACGACCAGAUCUCCGCCAUCCUCGACGAGGUCUUCCGCACCUACGCCGAGUUCAUCCUCCCGGGGGGGCAGGGCCUGUCUCUCACCGGCCUGCUCCGCACCUACGACGACGGCGCCGGGGACGUCGACCGCGACUUCCUCGCGCUCUCCCUUCCCGCCGUCGACUCCGACGCUUCCUCCCCCGAGAUCGGGCCCGGGGACGCCGCCGCCUCCUCCUCCCCGACCUCCGGCGCCGCCGUCGCCGCCUCGCUGCUCGACGACCACCUCAAGCCGCUCGGCAUCGGCGGCACGGGCCCCUCGUCCAGCUCCCGCGCCGCCGUCGCCGCGCCGGCCUGGGCGACCUCGCCCAGCCACGGGAUUGCCUUCGAUUCCUCCUGGGCGCUCCUCGACGACCUGGAGAUACUCGUCAAGCGCCUCCGCUCCAAGCAGCUGCGGAAGACCUCCUCGGUCGACACCAGCGGGGGCGGCAGCAAUCUCGACUCCUUCUCCGAGGCCGGCUGGUCCAGGGAGAUCUCCGCCUCCGCCGAUUCGGGUUUGGCGUCCGCGCCGUGGGACGAGACCAGCCGGGACUACCUCACCUUCGUCAAGGAGCUCGCUGUUCUCCGCACGCGCGCGGACGCCUCCCGCUCUCGCGAGGAGGCCUUCGACAACCACAUGGUCAUCGGCCGGGCGCUCUCCGAGCACCGCCUCUUCCGAGACGCCCUUGCCAGCUUCCGCCGUGCCUGCGAGCUUCAGCCCACCGACGUCCGCCCGCACUUCCGCGCUGGUAACUGCCUCUACGCCCUGGGCCGCCACGCCGAGGCCAAGGAGGAGUUCCUCCUUGCCCUCGAGGCGGCAGAGGCAGGUAACUCCCAGUCCGCGGACAUUCUCCCACAGAUCCAUGUCAACCUUGGUAUUGCAAUGGAGGCUGAGGGGAUGGUGCUUGGUGCCUGCGAGCACUAUCGAGAGGCUGCCAUACUGUGCCCAUCCCAUGCCCGCGCGCUGAAGCUCCUUGGGAGUGCACUCUUUGGUGUUGGGGAAUACCGUGCAGCGGAGAAGGCACUGGAGGAGGCCAUCUUCCUGAAGCCAGACUAUGCUGAUGCGCACUGUGAUCUUGGGUCAGCCUUGCAUGCAGUAGGGGAUGAUGACCGUGCAGUUCAGGAGUUCCAGAAAGCAAUUGAUCUUAAACCUGGGCAUGUUGAUGCCUUAUACAAUCUUGGUGGAUUGAACAUGGACGCAUGCCGAUUUGUGCGAGCUGCGGAGAUGUAUACUCGUGUGCUGAGCAUCCGACCAAACCAUUGGCGUGCUCAGCUAAACAAGGCAGUCGCUUUGCUUGGGCAGGGAGAGUCCGAGGAGGCCAAGAAGGCACUCAAGGAGGCAUUUAAGAUGACACAAAGGGUGGAGGUGUAUGAUGCCAUCUCACAUCUGAAGACACUGCAGAAAAAGAAGCUAAAGCCUUCAAAAGGAAAACAUGAUGCUCAAGGAGAGGAAGCCUUUGUUAUUGUAGAAGCAUCCAAGUUCAAGAGGGUUGGAAGCAAGACCACAUUGCGGCAGGAUUUGGCCAAUGCCCUUGAUAUAAGGGCAUUCGAGAGGACGACAAAGCUUGGCCACUGUGAUGCUGAGCUUCUGAGGAAAGAGAUGAAUGAGACUGAUGUCCCCGUAUCCUACUCAGGCACUGGCAUCCCAGAGAAGUCGAUCAGGAAAGCAGCUCUUGAGGUUAUUCUUCGCAGGCUCCUAUCUUUCCUCAAGCCAGAUACCUUCCAGGGUGCUGUCAAGGCAAUGAAUGAAAGAAUUCUCUCGGUCCUUGAUGCGUCUGGCUCUGGCCGCGUUGAUCUUGGGAUGUUCUUUGCUAUCAUUGCUCCAAUCUGUUCUGGUCCUGUGGAUAGGCGCAAGCGUGUCGUCUUCGAUGCACUCCUUUGGCGUCCUGCAAGCGAAGGUGGCAGGGGCCAGAUCAGGAGGAGUGACGCGCUAAGUUACAUUAAACUUCUCCGUGCCGUUUACAUACCAACCAAUGGGGCUAGCGACAUGCUUGAAAUGCAUGGGGAGUCCGACCCUACCAUGGUAUCGUACACAGAGUUCCUCGAGAUGUUCAAUGAUCCUGAUUGGGGGUUUGGAAUUCUAACCACACUGGUGAAGCUUGAAGACAGUGAUCAUGUUCGCCAUGGCAGCCACACCUGCUCCAUAUGCAGAUAUCCUAUCAUCGGUUCACGGUUCAUGGAAACAAAACACUCGUUUAGCUUGUGUAACCGGUGCUACAGUGAAGGGAAGGUUCCAUCAGCCUUCAAGUUGGAGGAGUACAGGUUCAAAGAAUACAGCAACGAGUCGGAGGCUCUUAUAGACAAGUGCAUGUGCUUUAAUUUGAAUUCUAAGAAGCUGGAAGCUGAUGCUUGA
rnacentral:rRNA from 1 species